CUCUGCAUUUAUCCGUCACCUCACGAGCUCAUCCACGGCGCCUCUCUCCGUCACCCGCGUCGCCGCAGCCCCCCGCCUCUUCUUUCUUUCUCUCGGUGUCCAUCAGCUCCGGUGUUUCCAUGAUAGAUUGGAGGACGGGGAGGAGAAGGAAGGAGCCGCCGUAGUCAGCGCCAUGGUGGAUGAGGCAGGCAACAGAGGAGGAUGGGUAUGAAUCACAAGAAAGGUGGAAGUCAACAUUUGUUAGACAUGGCGUUUAAUUGUGCACAAGAAUGAAGUUCAAUAGCUUUUCCAGAUUUAACAAAUCAACAGGUGUUAUAUCCAUGCAAGAGGUACAUGCCGAUGCAUUGGAAGUCUUAUGUUUGUGGAAGGAGAAAGCAAGGAGAUCUCUUGGAGAAACUAUGGGGAUGGGACAGACUGCUAUCCAUCGGGGAUUCCGCCUUGUCGUGGUCCGACUACAGUGCCUACCUCGAGGAGUAUCGCCGUCGGAAUGUCGAUGCUGUUAGCAGCAUAGCUGCUCUAGCUCAGACUUGUCUCAUCAGUGAGGAGCAGCUUGUGUCCGAGUGGAAGACCCAGAUGAAAUCUCAAAAGGAUGUUAUCCUGCCGAUGAGGAAAUCGACCCUUCUGAGUUGCCUGAUCCACGAGCGUGCACGUUCAGUCGUCCACGCAGCAGGUCGUGGCUUUUCCAAUCUGCACGGUUCGGCUUUGUUGGUACGUUCCAUAAGAACACACCAAACAAUUAUCUUGUCUUUGAUCAUUUCAUAAUUAUUAUUAUUUUUUUGAGAAUCACCGGGGGAGGAGUCCCUCCACCUGAAUAUAUUGCUCAAAGUGGCUAUUAUGCCAGAGAGUGAUCCGGUUUAUAAGGAAAACCAAAUCGAAAACCUAAACAAUUUGGCUCCGUUUAUAAGAAAAACCGGGCCAAAAACCGUACAAGUAACAAGGUUACUAGAAGAUGAGAAGAGUAGGGCGCCCACCAAAGGCAGGACAUAGCUAGCAGAUUAACAAGACCAACACCAUAAAAGACACAAGUAGUUGUGGGGUAAUGUCGAGGGACACAAUACCAAGACUUUGCAAGGAACCUAACGCACCGCACUGGCAUGCAUACCGAACCCACGGCGCAACACAGGAGCACCAUAGUCAACGAGUGCCACGUACGAACCUUGACUACGAGCUCCGCUAAUGAAGUUCAGGACGAUUAGCAAGUUGGGGAGGCUAUUUGCGCGGCAUUGAGCAAAGAUGACCAAAGCAACACCAAGAGCACGAAGCUCGCAUCAACACAACGGUAGCCAUGAGAAGGUCUUGAGCUUGCACAGCAAGAGGGACGACACAAAGGCACCGCCGCCAAAUCCCUACAGAACACCACCAAGGACAUGCAUACGGGGUAGAGAUGGCCGCUCCACAGCACGGAGGAGUGUUGUUGCCAGACCCCGACACGCACCACCAUUACCCCAAACCAGUCACACCACCACCACCGACAACCCCACUGCUUGCAGCUAACCAACAAAACAACCUAGCCAACUUCUCGAUGAUACCUUCAAGAAGGGGCGCGGCGCACGGUUGCGCCGCCAUCAUCAGUUCCAGGUAGACCUGGAAGCAGAGUUUCCUCCUAGGUCGGGCAAAGGGUGGUGAAAUCAACAUUUUGAUGACGCCUCCAGGAAGGGUAGUGGCGCCCACGGGCGUCACUGUCGUCGGCUCUGGACAGAGCAUGGCUUUCACCGAGUUGAGCAUUCACACACCCUGUGAUUAGAUUAUUAAUGGCACACCGCACCAUCGCCCGCGCCUCAUGGCAGCACCAGCAGCCACAGGAUGCACUGGGCGCCAUGAGCGCCCCACCAAGCACCGCCACCGGCAGCAACCUCCAUCUCCCAGCCACGCACCGCCAUGCAGCCAGCAGCGAGCCGCCACCACGCCACCGGACGGAGACACCUCCACGCAUGUAGCUCAUCGUCAGGAGCAGAGUCCUUGCCGACCCAGCGGCCGAGGAUGGCAGAUCUGGACAGCGCCGGACCU